AACCCAGGGGUAUUUUGCUCUAACGGUUCACUCGCGAGAAAAAUAAUUUCUUCUCGAGAGUGAAACGUUAGAGCAAAAUACCCCUGGGUU
rfam:Nematostella vectensis strain CH2 x CH6 NEMVEscaffold_3_Cont511, whole genome shotgun sequence.